AUGUUGGCCCGCAGGGGCCCUGUUACACGGUUGUCUGGAGCGCCUGUCUGAGAACCGUUUUUGUAAAGAACAGUAGCGAAUUCUUUUGUGCUGCAUUAUGUGCAAGCAACUAGCGAGGGCGAGCUUCUUCCCAGUACGCUGCAAGGUGCUUCUAUACUCCGUUCCAGCACGACUCGGAAAACGGCGACUGCCAUGGCCUCGCCGAGCAAAUUGGUGUGUCUGAAUGAGGCACGCUGUAAUGUGCCACUGAAGUGUGCCCCCUCCCCUGCAGAGAAGUCGCGACCUUCGCUGGGUCGCUCCAGUUGGUUCCCAGGGGCUACAACUUUUGCCCUUUGCAAGGUUAUGGUGAAAUGUAGUAGAGCAGAACCCAUUUUUGUGGAAGCAUUGUUUCUGUUAAUAGGGGGGACAUGUCUCAUCAAACGAAUCUUACAGCCUCUUCCUGCAAUGUUGGAAACUGAGGUGCAGCUGGUGGUGCGAGUUACUGUGACGGUGGCAUUGUGGUGGUGCAGUUUGGCACAGUACAUAGACAAUUGGUAAUCGACUUAAAACUCCGCGUGUGGUUUUGUCAAAUUCUGCUAAUAUAGCAGUUUCAUUUGUCCUGCGUGUAAGCUAUAAUCAGGAACAUUACAAGCUUUGCGAGGUCCUCUGUCCCGUUAUCAGCAUUAUAUAUCUAUCACUUCUCGCAAGUAUUAUUGUAAAACGCGGUACCUUUCAAACAUUCUUACGUCGGCAUUCUAAUAGUGGGUGUCUAUAUCACUUUAGUUGUGGAGAAUUUUUUUGGGACAGGACCUCAGUUAUCUAGUUUUCAGUGAAAGGUAAUUUAUGCACCGCUUUGAGAGUUUCUUAGGAGCAAGAUGUACAGGCCUCCUAAUGUUAAAAUGCAGGCCGGUACAUGGUCCUUCACAGUGUUGAGUGUAACUCUCGCUUACUGCACAUUGUAGACAAAAGUAGAGCUGUGUAGAGCCAAACUACUCUACGACUACCUCGUUAUCUUGCGAGCCUGUGGAAGGUCUUUGAUAAAAGUGCCAAGUAAUUGAAAGUACUCCCUGCACUUUCUUGACAAUAUGUGAACAUCCUACUGGAACCUGGUUUCAGAUGGUCGUGGCACUCCAUCGAUAAAGGAGCUAUGAGAAACCCAAGAAAAAUUUGUUUAAUAAAUUUUCCUUAUCGGGAUUGCCUACUAGGAAAGG